UACGUAGGGGGCGAGCGUUGUCCGGAUUUAUUGGGCGUAAAGAGCGUGUAGGCGGCCAGGUAGGUCGGUUGUGAAAACUGGAGGCUUAACCUUCAGACGUCGACCGAAACCAUCUGGCUAGAGUCCGGAAGAGGAGAGUGGAAUUCCUGGUGUAGCGGUGAAAUGCGCAGAGAUCGGGAGGAACACCCGUAGCGAAGGCGGCACUCUGGGCCGGUACUGACGCUGAGGAGCGAAAGCGUGGGGAGCAAACAGG
rnacentral:rRNA from 1 species